rnacentral:lncRNA from 1 species
GUUCUGCAUCGAGGGGCUGGAUGGGUGAGAGCAACCGAAGCCUGGGCUAGCGCAGGAGAUAGACAAGAGCUCCGCCCUCCAUCCAUUUCUCUGAACGUUCUAGGUCUUGAUUUUCACCACUCGCGGGGUAAUAUUUCCACCCAAAAUCUAGCAACGAUCCCGUCCAUGAAAACAGCUGAAAAUCUCCCCUUUGAAAGAACACGUCCAGGAGGCUUUCCAUCCCUUAACUAAGCUUGUGCCCGCUUUGCCUACCCCCCCUGGCGAUGUGGGGCAGGGCGCAUCCGCCGGCGACCACUUGGCCUGAUUUCCCGGCCCCCGGGAGGACUUCUGAACCAGGAUUUGUGACGUGCCGCUAGGAGAAGGGGCACAUGAUGGGGAGGGGAACUCUCCGAGCACAUUCCCCAAACUGCAAAUCUGCCCAGGGACGGCUGGGCGCCUGGGUUGAGGAGAAGGGCCCGCAGUCUUAUUGGUCUCUGCAGACAGAAGCGAGGGGGAAGAACUCAUCACGAGUUACAAGGGCGGAAAACAGCCGCCCCAGGUCUCCCCACAGCUCCCCGGACGCCCCGCGCUAGGCCUCGGGCCCCAACGCCUGGGAAUGGUCGGCGGUGCUUGGGCCCCGCCCGGGGGCGAGGGGCAGCGGCCCGGCCCCAGGCCUCAUCUCCGCACCGGGAGCUCGGGCUCACACUGUAGAAUGAAGUGCCCUGUAGAAUAUUCGAUCCCCACGGCCAGCUAGGGACCCCGCCACAGUGGAGCGCCUCGCCACCUCCAUCCGCCCUCCUGUGGUCCGGGACUAGGUGCAGUUACAGGACCCGCCUAAGAAGAGCACUAGAAGGACGCAGUGGGUGGAUGUCCGAGUUCGAGCGGCUGGAUGUCGCGCGGUGGCAACAAGUAGCUCGGAAAAGGGGUAUUGAGAGUCCACUGCGAGCUGCUUCCUGCUUGCGGCCAAUGGGGACGUGCGGCAGAGCAGUUAGAAACAAGAAGGGAGAAGACUAAAGAGAGACUCCUUACUUCUGGCAACGAGAUACACAAAAGGGGUUGCGAACAUCCAAAAGGGUCUUGCUCCAGCACAGCUGCCAGUGGGCGGCUUCCCGGUGAGAUUUUGCCAGCACCCGACAGAGUUUCCUGCUUGCCAUCCUCAGCCUGCAGCACCUCAGCAAACUCCUCCACCAUCCGCAGGCCCCGGAGCCACCCUCACCAGUGAACUCUGAAUCUCAGCCUUGGAGGGGAGGGAGAGUUUGUUGCUUCCUUGGGUUCCCUAUGUCAGCCCUAGAGGUAGUGGCUGCUCCCUUUGUUAUUCCUGAAUUAUCUAGAGUUCCAUUUACCCUUCUUCGUAAUGAAUCCUCCUUUACUAGUUAAUAAUUUUUUACAUUAAAUUUUCCCUAUUCAAAC